rnacentral:rRNA from 1 species
AUUGAACGCUGGCGGCAGGCCUAACACAUGCAAGUCGAGCGGGGCGGCGGACGGGUGAGUAAUGCCUAGGAAUCUGCCUGGUAGUGGGGGAUAAAGAACGGAAGCGGGCGCUAAUACAGCAUACUAUCAGACAGAUCUAGGUCGGUUUAGCUAGCUGGUGGGGUAAAGGCCUACCAAGGCGACGAACCGUAACUGGUCUGAGAGUAUGGUCAGUCACACUGGAACUGAGACACGGUCCAGACUCCUACGGGAGGCAGCAGUGGGGAAUAUUGGACAAUGGGCGCAAGCCUGAUGCAGCCAUGCCGCGUGUGUGAAGAAGGUCUUCGGGUUGUAAAGCACUUUAAGUUGGGAGGCGUUACCAGCAGAAGAAGCACCGGCUAACUUCGUGCCAGCAGCCGCGGUAAUAG